rnacentral:rRNA from 1 species
UACGUAGGGUGCAAGCGUUGUCCGGAAUUACUGGGCGUAAAGGGCUCGUAGGCGGCCAACUAAGUCCGACGUGAAAUCCCCAGGCUCAACCUGGGAACUGCGUCGGAUACUGGAUGGCUUGAAUUCGGGAGAGGGAUGCAGAAUUCCAGGUGUAGCGGUGAAAUGCGUAGAUAUCGGGAGGAACACCAAUGGCGAAGGCAGCUCGCUGGGACGUUACUGACGCUGAGACGCGAAAGCGUGGGGAGCAAACAGG